AGUGAACGCUGGCGGUAGGCCAAACACAUGCAAGUCGAACGGCAGCACAGAGGAGCUUGCUCCUUGGGCGAGUGGCGGACGGGUGAGGAAUACAUCGGAAUCUACUCUGUCGUGGGGGAUAACGUAGGGAAACUUACGCUAAUACCGCAUACGACCUACGGGUGAAAGCAGGGGACCUUCGGGCCUUGCGCGAUUGAAUGAGCCGAUGUCGGAUUAGCUAGUUGGCGGGGUAAAGGCCCACCAAGGCGACGAUCCGUAGCUGGUCUGAGAGGAUGAUCAGCCACACUGGAACUGAGACACGGUCCAGACUCCUACGGGAGGCAGCAGUGGGGAAUAUUGGACAAUGGGCGCAAGCCUGAUCCAGCCAUACCGCGUGGGUGAAGAAGGCCUUCGGGUUGUAAAGCCCUUUUGUUGGGAAAGAAAUCCAGCUGGCUAAUACCCGGUUGGGAUGACGGUACCCAAAGAAUAAGCACCGGCUAACUUCGUGCCAGCAGCCGCGGUAA
rnacentral:rRNA from 1 species